UACGUAGGGGCUAGCGUUGUCCGGAAUCAUUGGGCGUAAAGAGCGUGUAGGCGGCCCGGUAAGUCCGCUGUGAAAGUCGGGGCUCAACCUCGAAUGCCGGUGGAUACUGUCGGGCUAGAGUGCGGAAGAGGCGAGUGGAAUUCCUGGUGUAGCGGUGGAAAUGACGCAGAUAUCAGGAGGAACACCAAUGGCGAAGGCAGCACUCUGGGACGUGACUGACGCUGAGACGCGAAAGCGUGGGGAGCAAACAGG
rnacentral:rRNA from 1 species